GCGCCCGUAGCUCUGUCGGAUAGAGUGGCAGACUUCGAAUCUGUUUGUCGGGGGUUCGAAUCCCUCCGGGCGUGCCA
rnacentral:tRNA from 1 species